AACGAACGCUGGCGGCAUGCCUAACACAUGCAAGUCGAACGAAACCGUCGGGCCUAGGGGCGCACGUGUGGGUGAGACGGGGGAACCUGCCCUUGGGUUCGGUAUAACUGCCUGAGGGGGAUGCUAAGAACGGUGAAUGUAUUCCGACCUAAGAGUUUUUGCCUUUGGAUGGGCGCUGGUUGGAUUAGGUGGUUGGUAGGGUAAUAGCCUGCCAUCGCGACGUUCCAUGGCUGGUCUGUGAGGAAGCCCCGGCACGCUUGGACUGAGACCCGGCCCAGACUCCUACGGGACGCAGCAGUAGGGAACAUUGGGGACUGGGCGAAGGCGUGGUCCAGCCGCGCCGCGUGAGUGAUGAAGGCGUUAGGGUUGUACAGCCCUUUUACCCGGGAUGAUAAUGACGGUACCGGGUGAAUAAGCACCGGCUAACUCCGUG
rnacentral:rRNA from 1 species